rnacentral:tRNA from 1 species
CGGGGUGUGGCGCAGUGGAUAGCGCGCAUGGUUUGGGACCAUGAGGUCGGCGGUUCAAGUCCGCCCACCCCGACCA